AUUGAUUAAGAUUAGAGUAGCAUUUCAAAGAUAUUUUAAACCAUUUUUAUUAAAAUAGUUUUGAAAAGUGAUUUUUUAAAAAUACAUUUUUCUUUAGUCAUCCAAACGUCCUAAAUUUACUGAAAUAUCUACUCAAAUGCAAGUUCCUUUUUUUUGUUUUUUUUGGUCAAUUUGUUGCUAUCUUCUUCCUUUCUCUCACAAAAGCACUUUCUAUCAUAAGUUUCUGUCCAUCAUCAUUAUCUUUCCACAUAAGUUUACUUUAGGUUUCAGGUUCUGUCUACACACAUUUUCUUUUCCUUUUUUGUUUUACAUAACUAUUAUGUAAUGUUCUUUACUUCAUAGUUAAUACAUAAAAAGAAUCAAUAGCCAGAUACCUUUUUUAAAUAAAAAAAAAUAUAUACACUAAGACUUAAACAUAAUGAUAUCUCAUCUUGAUGAUUAAUAAAUUGCUUAUUUUACUUGAAAUUAGAUAAAUGUUAUAUUCUAAGAAUAUCAUGUGGGUGAUACUAUUCCCCAGAAUUUAUUAAUAAUGGCAAUCCCUAAGACGAGUCUAUUAUAUUCUAACUUAAUUGGUACACUUGAUUAAAAGUUCUAAAUGCUCGUAUACGACUCAUUUACAUUUACAUUUCAAGAAGAAUUUACAAAAAAGGGGUCCAUUUUAAGCCACACAUUAAAUUACCUAAGAAGUAAGUUUAGAAUUCUCUUAAGAUUUUUUUUUUUUAAAGAACAUUAUUUUGUGAGUAUAUAUUCCAAUCCAUAUAUGUCUCUAUAAGCUAUAUACACUUUAUAGGGGCUACUGUUGGUUUGGUUCUUUUCAGUGUUUAAAAAGAGAAGUUUCAACCCUUCAUUUACUCAUUGAAGAUUGAAUUUGAAUAUCAAAAUCAAUCCACAUGAAGAAAGGGCUAUUACUUUUGUUCCUCUUCUCCAUUAUUUUCCUCUAUCUUCUUCCAUUUUGCCUAUGCGAAACCAAUUUCACCACCAAAGCUGAUGAUCAUAACAAGCAGCUGAAGCAGGGGAGGCCCAGAAAAGAUGUACAGAGCAGUGAAGAAUUACAUGGUGGAGCUUCAGUGGCGACAGUUAUGAGAGCAAAAGCAGUUUACGGUGGUGCGAACGACAUUCAUCACGGACACUCGAAGAAUGAUGCUAACUCUUUAUGGAUCAAAUCAAUUUCUUCGUUGGUGUGGAAAGUUUCAUUUGGAUUCCUUGGUUUCUGUGUUGUUGUUAAAGGUUUUUAAGCACAACAAACUCUGUUGUAGGGUUUUAGCAGAGCAGGUUGCAAGUGUCAUGGUUAAGUAAUGGCUUAACCAAAUGUUAGUGUUGGAAAACUUGACGUUGAAGCUUCAUAACGCUUUAUUCUCUACACUCUUUUUUACUUUGUAGACCAGAAUCUUUUUCUUCCAAGUCUGUUUCCCACGCUUCAAAGUUAGUAACUUGUAAUUUCCUUUGUCUUUUGACUCGGGAUUAAAUUUGGUUUUAGCAUCUCUUUCCUAUGAGUCUGAUUUACUCAAGAGGGUAAGGUUGUUUGGGA